rnacentral:lncRNA from 1 species
GCUGAAGCUAUUUUUCUAGAUACCCCUUUCAUCUUCUUACAAAAUAUCUUGAUGCAGACUGCAGAUUUUUUCCGAGGUGACAAUCCAGAAGGCUUGGAAGCACGCAAUGAGGUAAUUGUUUACCAGGAAAACCAUUUUAAAUCAUGAGAAUAUUUUAGUAAGCUGUAUAAGUUUUAUCAGCUGAAAUCACCACCAAAUUAGCAUGGAUUCAAAGUAAUUUCUCUUGUAACUAUACUUCUUCCUCGAUAACAUAUAAUAAGGGUUAUACUGUGAUAGGCACUUGCCAUUCUAGAAGUGGAGAUAUUAAUGAUAUCUUUGUCUUGUCAUUUUCGCUAUGCCUCCAUUUUGGUAUUCUAAUAAGAUUUUCAAUUCAAAAGUCAAUUGCUUUUAUUGGACAUUUCCUUAUACCCUUAGCAAAGACUUAAUGUUUCAAGACUGUUUGCACCCCUUUCUCUCUCAUUCUGCAUAAUUUAGUAUAGAAAAAUUGGGAAAAGAAAAUUUGAGGAUUACAACCAUGACAGUACCCCAAAAGUGUUGUUUGUGAUAUUAUUCUCUGUUUAUAAUAGGGAAAUUAGAGCUUUUGGCAUCUAUGGUAUGCUACAUGCUCAAAUUUGAUUAAUGAAAAGCUGUAUGCAUGCUGUUUGCUUGUGUAGUGUAAGCAUGAUAUAUUUGUGAGAGACUUUUGUGGCUAUACAUGCAUGGCUUUUCCUAACUAAUUUCAUGCCAUUCAGUUGCCACCCUUGGAAAUAUGAAAUGUGGCUAAUUUUGCAAACUCAAGAUUUGCCUGAUCAUUAUCUUCUCAUUGGUGAAAUGGCAUGAGUCAAAAGUCUCUCGUAUGUAUGACCUUCUGCUCUAUGCGUCUAUCACAUUCAGAUCUUCCCUUGAUUUUUUUCUCCUGUUCACAGUUUCUUUGGAAAUAAUAUUUGUAAACACUGUGUAAAUCUCCUCUUUUAGUUUUUCUAGAUGUUAGUAUCUUUUGUAUAGCUGUAAAUUAGUUCUUCCCAAUCUUGUAAUCUCUAAUCCUAUAAAUAUGUAAUUUUAAUUCUUUUAAAUUCUUCAGUCCUUUCCAAAUGAUGUGAAUAUGACAUGGCUGAUUUACAAGCUGUUUAUAAAUGUCAAUUGAAGAUAUCUAGGCUUCUUACUCAUGACUUCUUUUGCUGUACUUGCAAGUUUGUGGUUGCUGAUAGCAUUGGGCAUUGCAUUUUUCUCUUAAAACUUACCUGCUGAAAGAAAUUUUUAAAUUUUGAACUUCUUUUGCUGUUUUUUGUUGUUUCUUAUUUUAAGUCAUGCCCUGAAUUGGCCUUUUUCCUUGCACAUAGUUUUAAUAUGUCACCUGCAACUAGGUAGCAGCUCUUGCAAUGGAAGAUAUGAUAUCUUGGAUGCAAGAGGGUGGACAGGUAAGUUUUAUUUUUAAUUGUGAUAAUCUGCUACAUAUAUUUUACCCUGUUCUAAUAUAAAUUUUACGUGCAUUUAGGUGGGAAUAUUUGAUGCCACAAACAGUACAAGGAAUAGGAGGAAUAUGCUUAUGAAAAUGGCUGAAGGAAAAUGCAAGGUAUGAUGAUUUUGCGGCUAGUUGAUUAUAAUUCUGCGAGGAACUGUGCAGAGUAAGACUCAAUUUGUGGCAAAUCUUCCAAUAAAAUUUUCAUAGAUGUUAUAAUAGUUUGACAUGCAUAACAUGAAAGAUGAUCGUAGAGAAGCCACUUGAGGUUUCUCCCUCUCCCGCCCUUCUUUUUUUUUUUUUUUUUGGGGGUAUUGGGGCAGCGGUCUUGUGUGUUGGGUUAAGACUUCUGAAACAGAAGCUAGAGAAAGAUUCCUACAAUGCAGACUAUAGGUUAUGUGAAUUUUCCUGGGUGUGGACCACAAUGCCUUUGAGUACAAGUGCACACCACUCAACUCUGUAAGGCCUCUUUGUUUGUUUUCGACAGCAGUGCACAAGUUAUAUUUAAUCUGUGAUGGUGGUUUGCCUUGAUAUUCUUGCUUGGCAUCUAAUUUUUUAUAUGACAUAAACCAUAGCUGAUUCUCGGUGCCUUUUAGAGUGAGAGCCUGUUAGUGUGAUUACAUGUUCUUUGCUUCAGAUUAUCUUUUUGGAGACAAUAUGCAAUGAUCAGCAAAUAAUUGAAAGAAAUAUACGCCUCAAAGUUCAGCAGAGCCCUGACUAUGCGGAAGAGUAUGACUAAACUCGUUUCAUUGUAAUGCUAACCCACUGUAAUUUUACGUCGUGAUUCAUGAUAUUUUCAGGCCGGAUUUUGAAGCUGGAUAUCAUGACUUCAAACAUCGACUUGAGAACUAUGACAAAGUAGUUUCUUGAAACAUACUAUAGCUCAAGUUUUUAUUAUUAUUUUUUUGAUGGAUGCUAUGGGUAAUAGUGUUUUAUAGGUAGCAUUUUCUGAUUUCAGGUUUAUGAACCCGUAGAAGAAGGCUCUUAUAUCAAAAUGAUUGAUAUGGUCAGUGGCCAUGGUGGACAAAUACAAGUAAAACCUCCUUUCCAUCAUGUCUAAAUCUUAUCAAAUUAGUUUUGUUCAGUAUAUUUUCUAUAAAAUCAAAUUUGAAUAUCUAUUACAUAUAUAUGCAAGGUUGCUUCUCUUGCAUGAAUGGUUGCGUAAAAUAAUAGAAAAGAGACAACAAUCUUGUAUGCAAACAAUCUCCAAUAAAUCCUUGGUGGUGCUAGAAAUUUCCUUUUAUGCUUAAUUUAUUGGCACAUACAGCAGUUCCAUACACAUCGUAUUAAUUUGCCAUUAUAUGAUUUUGGAUCUGCAGAUGAUUUCUAUCUUUUUGAUAAAACCAAAUUUAAUAAUAAAUUGAAACACGUGUGAUUAGUGAUAUAGAGAGGUCCUACGAUUUAGACAAAAAUUGAUUCUCCAAUCAAUGCUAGAGUUCAUAAAUCUUCUAAGGAAAAAACCUGAAGAAAAAACUCGAAACUGGGAGCAGUAGAUUUGAUUAAUUCUUGUAAUUUUCUUGGAUUAUCUGACUUUUUAUUGAGCCACGUUAAUUAUAUUCUUUAUCAUUCCCUCCUCCAUAAAAGAAAAUUGCCAUUAGUUUGCUAGUGGUUGCCUGAAUCUUCUUCUCCAAGAUUGAAUUAAUAAGCUGGGAACAUUGAAUGUAAGAUGUAUUCUUCAAGUAAGGUGCCAAAGUCAAUUUCGUCAAGAUUAACCCAUAAAGAGAUGGGAAGAAGGAAAUAGUUUGAUAAAGAAAAAAAGAGGUGAAGGGAAGAAAGAGCAAUGAAAUAAAGAAGAAAUUGAGGGUCUCUUUCUUGGUUUAAUAAGUAAAGGGAAUGUCGGUUAUAUUAGAGUAUAUUUCCAUGUAGAGGUUAAUAAAAUCACCGAAAAUCAGGGAUUAAUUCCAUUGUAUAGCUAAUUAUUUUCUUUCCUUAUAUAGCUUGUAAUAUUCUAUAAAUCAAAUGUAAUACACACGAGAAGAUUCAUUCUGCAAAAUAUUGUCAUGGUAUCAGAGACCUAAAAUCCUCUUUCUCGUACUUGUGAUCGUCCUCGUGUGUUCGACACCAUCCAGGGGCGAACCCACAUGGGGUCAUGUGGGGUCAAAUGACCCCACAGUUUUUUUUUUUUUUUUUUUUUUUGAAAACGGUUAUCCAUGAAUAUUUGGGAGUUCCAAUUAAUUCCUAGCCGGCUAGCCCAAUGACUCCAAUCCAUUAUCCAUAUCCAUUAAUCCAUAGUCCAUAGAUGAUAGACCUAAGACCAUAAUCCACUCUCCACUCCAUUGUCUUCCCACCGAUUUCUGAUGAGAAAAAUGUAGGAAAAUUUGAAAACUUAAUGAAUUCUAAAGUACGAAAAACGUUAUCUUUUAAGAGAUGUUUCUUUCCUAUCCAACGAAGUCACUAUUGGGGUAUGAUAGAAAAUCUCUCUUAGAAUACAAUGGAGGCGUUUGAUUCAAAUUGUGACUAUUUGAUCAAACCAAGAAGACACUCGAAAAAGAACUGAUGAUGCCAAGAGAAAGAGAGAAGAAUAUUUUUUAAUGUAUUUUGCAAACGAGAAUUCGCCCAGAAUUUAUAGAAAUUAAGGCAACCGUUUGAAUAGGUGUAUCCCUUAAAAUGAAGAACACAUAUGUUGGAAGUAGCAGUCAAAACGAACAAAUGCACCUAUUCAAAGACUUUUGAAAAUAAAAUUCUCUUUCGGGGGCGUUGCCCUUUGCGCAACAACAAACACUAGUCGAAGUGGCAAAUCAUUCGCAAAACAAAAAAAUAAAUACAUGCAAAAUGAUGAAAAAUAUCUAACAAUUUCUUCCCAAACAGCAGCGAAGCCUUCAUUUUUGACCCCACAGUCUGAAGUCUAUGGGUCCGCCCCUGGCACCAUCUCGUGUUUUUUCGGCAAUCUAUAGUUGGUAGGUGGUUGAUCGUAGUCGACGACUGUCAUCGGACCACUGUUCAUUGAAGUUCGUAUCUUCGGUGGUCGCAUCCCUUCUCUUCCUCAUUGGUUGAGUUUCUCGGCCUUCGUCUUUGUCUCUAUCUUUGUCUUGCGUCGCGCCUCCCGGUUUGCUCCGCCUAGUGGUGUUUAGUCAUAGUUUCCUUCUCAGUUCAGUUGUUGAUUCUUGGUCGAGGGAGGUUUUUGGCAUCUCGGUGUUGGGUUGGGGACUUCACAUCUCCAGUUGAAUUCUUCUUUGUAUUAACUUGGUUUCUUCUCUUUCUCCUGGACUGGGACGUGAAUUGUGGUGGUGUUGGGCUAUUGGGCUUGAUUCAUUAUUAGUUAAGCUGAAUUAUUUGAAUAGUGUUGGUCGAUUGUAUUUGGGCUACUCUUUUAAUUAAGCCCCCGUUUGAGCUCCAUUAUUUCUCAUUACAUUAAAUCAAAAUUUUCUCUAUCCCUACUUUUAACCACACAAUUUUCAAUAAAAUAAUAUUACACGUAAAUCAAAAGUUUUUCAACAACUCAUUUUAAAAAAAACACUAUUCAUCUCAUUAUAAUCUACAAAUAAUGGGGCUCAAAUGGGGGCUAAUUAUUAGUUCCAUCAUGUCAACCGAUAAGAAUUGAGUCGGUUUGUAUUCGCUUUUUUGGAAAAAAUUAUUCUUCAUGGGCUUUUCACUUUCAAUUGUUGGUUGAAGGCAAAGGCGAUCUUUGGGGAUAUAUUGAUGGAGAUCUUCCUUCUCCUGAUCAAGAGAAGGAUAAAGAAAAGUAUAUUGCUUGAAAAACCAAAGAUUCUCAACUUAUGGCCUGGAUCAUUGGAUCAGUUGAUGAGUAGAUUGUCCUUAAUCUCAGACCUUACAAGUCAGUCCGUGCUAUGUGGGAGUUCUUGAAGAAAGUCUAUACUCAAAGUAAUAAUGCUUGGCGACUUCAGUUGGAGUUUGAAUUAGCAAAUUUCUCUCAUGUUCCAUUGAAGAAUAUUAUUCAGGAUUCUCUAACCUUUGGGCCGAGUACACAAAUAUUAUCUACGCUUUGGUUUCAUUAAACAAUUUGGAGGCUAUCCAAGUUGUACACGAAGUCACCAAGAGAGAUCAAUUUCUUAUGAAAUUAUGAACUGAAUUUGAAUCCACCCGAUCUGGUCUUAUGAAUUGCGAGUCUCUUUCAUCACUGGAUGGUUGUUUGGGUGAAUUACUGAGGGAGGAGCAGUGUCUUAUCACUCGCGCUUCUUUGGAACAACAACAGAAUAAUGUAGCACCGGCUCUCAUUGCUUAUGUGGCUCAAGGAAAAUUCAAGCAUCGGGAUAUGUCUGUUUGCAAUGUUAUAGUUGUAAGGGAUUUGGUUACAUAGCUCUUCAGUGUCCUAAAAAAGUUUGCAAUUAUUGCAAGAAGUCUGACUAUGUUAUUAAGGAGUGCCCCACUUGUCCUCCACGCAACAUUGGAGCAAAUUAUAUUGCUGUUGCAACUUUAGCCUCUAAUUCUGCUUUACCACCUGCUCCUUUUCAAGUUCCAACAUUUCUCAACUCUUCUCAAACUCACAUAACUCCUGAGAUGAUUCAACAAACGAUUAUCUCUGCUUUGGGUAUCUCAGGUAAUACACCAUCUACUCGUUCUUCUUGAUUAUUAGACUCAGGUGCCUCUAACAAUAUGACUCACGAUCCUUUGUUACUUUGUAACCUUAGACCAUAUAUAGGACCUUUCAAUGUACACACUGCCGAUGGUAACAAACUUCCUUUCUUCGCUGUGGGAGAUAUAUCACUUUAACCUCUCCUCAUUUAUUAACUAAUCUUUAUCUAUCGGGUAACUUAUUGAUAAUAAUUGUAUUGUCUCUUUUUCUUCUUCUAAUUGUCAUGUACAAGAUCAGAUGUCUGGAAGGACUAUCGAAAGGGACCUAAAGUGGGACGUCUGUUUCCUAUUUCAUAAAAGCCUAUUCCAUUUUCUUCUUCCGUUUGUAAUUCUGCCACUUUAGAUAUUUUUAAGUGGCAUAACAAAUUGGGACACCCCAAUUCGAAUGUGCUACUACACUUGUUAAACUCGGGUUUGCUUGGUAAUAAAAAUGCUGCUUCAGUUAUCUCUCUCGAUUGUGCGUCAUGUAAACUUGCUAAAAGUAAAGUUCUACCAUUCCCAUCUCAUGAUUCUCGUGCUUUACAAAUUUUCGAUAUUAUUCGUAGUGAUGUAUAGGGUGUUGCACCUGUGGUAUCCUAUGCACAUUAUAAAUACUUUGUUAUCUUUAUCGAUGAUUAUAAUCGAUUUACAUGGAUUUAUUUUCUUCGUGCAAAGAGUUAUGUCUUCUUUGCUUUUCAAGUCUUUCUUGCUCUCAUUGACAAUCAAUUUUAUUCCUCGAUCAAAGUCUUAAGAUCUGAUUCAGGAGGUGAAUGAAUGUCUAGAGCUUUUCAAUCUUUCUUACAACUCAAAUGUAUCAUUUCUCAGCGAUCUUACCCUUCUACGCCUCAACAAAACGGCGUGGCAGAACGCAAGAAUCGUUAUGUUCUUGAUAUGGUUCGAGCUCUUUUGAUUGAGUAUUCUGUUCCCUCUCGUUUUUUGUGUGAAGCAUUGUAUACCGCUGUGCAUCUCAUAAACCGAUUACAUUCUCUCACUUUUAGUAAUGUUUCUUCAUUUUUGAAAAUAUUUGGUUAUCAUCCCACAUAUUCUCAUCUCCGUCCCUUUAAGUCUGUAUGUUUUGUUCAUUUGCAAUCACAUGAAAGGACAAAACUUACUCUUCAAUCUGUCAAGUGUGCCUUUCUGGGAUAUGGUGGGACUAAAAAAUGGUACAUCUGUUAUGAUCCUACAUCACAACGAAUUCGUAUUUUUCAUAAUAUUAUUAUUUUUGAAAAAUAAUCAUUCUUCAGUUCAGAAACUGUAGUUUCUCCUCCUGUGUUCUCUAUGUUACCUGAUUUCCCUGCAGAACCAUCUCGGUACAAGCCAGCCUUGUUUACGCUCGUAGGCAUGUUGCAUCCAUCACUAAUCUAGAUCUUGUUUCUCCGAUAAUGGUCCUUCCAAGCUUCUCUGAUCCUCUACCUACGACUCCUGAUCCUGCACAUGAUGAUGUGCCGCCUCCCGUCCCUCUUCGUCUUACUUCUCAUGUUUCUCGACCACCCAAUAGGUAUGGUUUCUCCUUCCGUAGUUCUAUGUCCGCUACACUUAAUUCGAUUUCUAUUCCUUCUUCCCAUAGACAAGCUAUAGAACAUGAAUGUUGGUAACAGGCUCGAGGCUCUUCAGGCCAAUCAGACCUAGGAUAUUAAGUGUGAAACCCAUUGGAAGUAAAUGAGUAUAUUUCGUUAAACUUCGUUCUGAUGAUUCUCUUGAGUGUUAUAAGGCUCGAUUAGUUGUUUUGGGUAAUCAUCGGGAGUAUGAUGAGACAUUUGCUCUUGUAGCAAAAAUGACCACAGUUCAUCUCUUGUUAUUGCUUGCCACUUCCCAAUCAUGGUUUUUACAUCAAAUGGAUGUGAAGAACGCAUUCCUACAUGUACACCUCAAGGAGGAUAUUUAUAUGAAACUUCCAUCUGGUAUGCCUCUUCCCUUAAUUGACUCUAGAUAUUGGCUAAAAUGCUUUUUGUAUGAUCUUAAGUAGGCUCAUUGGGCAUGGUUGACAAAUUUCGUUGUACUCUUUUGGAUUUCUUAUUUACCCGAAGUCAGUAUGAGGCAUCUCUGUUUUUCACAAGAGUAUUGUUGGCAUUGUCUUUUUAUUGGUAGAUGUGGAUGAUAUUAUUAUCUCUGGAUUUGAUCACAGUCUUAUCCAGAAACUUCAGCAGCAUCUUCACUCGAUUUUUCACAUGAAAGACCUUGUUCAACUUACUUUCUUGGUUUAGAGGUACAUACCACAUCAGAUGGUAUCUUCUUGAAUCAACAUGAGUAUAUUUGAAGCCUCCUCAGUUGAUACGCUGUUGGAGCAUAAUGCCAAAUAUCGAGAAGAUGGAGGAGAUUUUCUUCCAGAUUCUACUCUUUAUUGGAAGUUUGUAGGUAGUCUCAUCCAUCUCACCAUCACACGUCCGGAUAUUUCCUAUGCGGUUCAUACUAUAAGCAAGUUUAUGGACGCUCCUCAUCAUCUUCAUUUGGUAGCCGUUCGUCGCAUUAUUUGCUAUCUUAUUGAAACUCCUCAUCGUGAUCUUUUCUUCCCUGGGGGGUCAUCUCUUGAGCUCACAGCUUAUAGUGAUGCUGAUUGUGCUGGUUGUCCUGAUUCCCGUCGAUCUGCUAUUGGAUGGUAUAUUUUUUUUUGGUGAUGCUCUCAUUUCUUGGAAAUGUAAUAAACAAGAAUGUGUUUCUAAGUCUUCCACUGAGGCUGAAUACCGAGCUAUAUCCGCUGCAUGUUUUGAGGUUACGUGGUUGCAUGGUCUUUUGGCAGAACUUGGUAUCUCUCAAUCAUAGUUUACACCCUUUCAUGGUAACAACAUUAGUGCUAUUUAGAUUGCGGCCAAUCCUGUGUAACAUGAACGCAGCAUAUAGAAGUCGAUUGUCAUUACAUCCGGAAUGCCUAUGAUUCCAAAGUCAUAUCUCUUCCCCAUGUUUCCACUUCACAACAGGGUACACAUAUCUUCACCAAAUUGUUAACUCGCCUCCUUCAUAACUUUCUCGUGAGUAAAUUGAUGCUUGUGGACUCCCCAACAUCAAUCGGGUCCGGGGGCGGGGGUUGUCAUUAGAGUAUAUUUCCAUGUAUAGGUUAAUAAAUCACAAACAAUCAGGAUUAAUUCCAUUGUAUAGCUAAUUAUUUUCUUUCCUUAAUAGCUUGUAAUAUUUUUAAAUCAAAUGUAAUACACACGAGAAGAUUCAUUCUGCAAAAUAUUGUCACGUUAAUCCCACAAUAAAAAAGGACCUAAAUAUGGAAUUUAGUUUUCGACCAGUUCUUGCUUUGGACUUUAUUUUAUCAAAUUUCCUUUCUAUGUAUUUCAAUUAGAUGAUGUUAAGUAGUUGAGCUUUGCAUUCUACCUUCCUAGUUUGUUAAGGACCUCAAUUUUUGGCAUUCAUCCAGUCUGAUUUUUGUUACAUUCUUCCUCACAUGCAUUUAUAUUUCAUUAUUUCAGGAUGAGAAUAAAUUAGAUUGGGAUAUCAGUAAAAGCCAUUUGAUCAAUGGUCCGUAGAUUGUGUAACUAUUACUUAACUUCAGCUACAGUCUGUAGGUUGUAUAAUUGUUAAAAAAACAUGUGAUUCUACUUCUAUAGAUUAUUAAAAUUAUGAUCUUUUUUUAAUGUUAUGGUCUAUUUUUGCUUCGGUAAAAAGUUGAAGCUACUGUUUGAACAAUAAUUUUAGAGUUUUGUUCUGAAUUUCUUGGCUUCCCAUUGCUUUUCUCCUUUUCCUUUCAAUGGAAAACAUCAUUGCUGGUUGCUACCUAAUUGUGAAUAUUUGUGAAACAGGUGAACAACAUUAGUGGCUAUCUUCCUGGUCGUAUAGUAUUUUUCCUGGUACGUCCUAUUUCAUUGUGUCGUAACACUUACCUACUCGUCUUGCAAUAUUACAUGGCUGUUUCUAUAGAUAUACCAUUCUAUCAUUAUCAAUGUCAAGUGUGAACAGAAGCACUUUUAACGAUGUAUAAGGUUCUAACCCAGAAAAGUUCAUGUAAGAGACCUUGGUCCACGUAGUACUCUUGAGGAGAUUUCCUUUGUCCCAAUCUAACUGGUGAUAAAAGUGCCAGGGAUUACAUAAAAUUAAAAAUGAUAAAUUUCAACUGUUCCCGAUGACCCAGGGUACUGUAUAUAUGUUUUCUUCUCAAUGUUGUUGCAAUUAGCAUAUUUGGAUCAUUAGGUUUCUCUAAACCUGUUUCUUCAAGCUGUAUGCUGCUUUCCCAUCUAUAUUUUGAACUUGCGACUUAUUAUAUAUGUAAAAGGAUCUGGAGGAAAAGGCUUUGCUCUAUAACAUUCCUCUCUUAUGAUCUAAGUAUUAUUUUUUCUCUUCAUCCGGCUAUUUAUUCAUUUAUUUUUUAUUUUGCCCCUAUUUGGGCCCCAUCCUUUAAAAAACAAUUUUCUUCAAAUUCAUUUUCAACCAUAUAUUCUCCCAAUAAAUAAUUUUGCACAUAAAUUCAAUUUUUUUUUUCUAUUUUUUAACUGCACGUUCUCUAAAAAAAAAAAUCACUUUUUGAUAAUCUAUUCUCAAAAAAUGGGGCUCCCCCCCCCCCCCCUCCCCCUUUCUUUUGCACUGCUUUAAAUAUAUUACAUAAAGAUAUGACUUCAGAUUGUGUUUCUUUCCAUUUUGCAGGUGAAUACACAUCUGACGCCAAGACCAAUUCUGCUUACUAGGCAUGGAGAGAGCCGUGACAAUGUUAGAGGCAGAAUUGGUGGUGACAGUGUGUUGAGGUUCUUUUUUAUUUUAUCAUGUUAAAUUUUCUACUAAAUUUGGGUAGAAUAUUUGAGUCUCUGAUUUAAUAUCCAUAAUUCUCUCGUUGAAAAUAAAGAUUCAUCUUUGGUAAAUUUAUUCUCAUUCAGCCAAUGCAAAAAUCCAAGAGCUGCAAACAGAAUUUCAAGGUUAAGGACCCAUGUUAAUGCCAUUAAGGGGUGGUGGGAUGUCAAUAUAUCUCAACAACCCUUCAUCAUACUUUUAGAUGUCCUGGAAUUCCACUAGCACGAAACUGCAAAAAAUUUGACUAGCUAUUGACUAAUAAUUUUUUGUUGUAUUUAUUUUGAGUUGACAAUUUCUGUGAUAUAAACUCAUUUCCUUCACUAUUACCUAAUCUAAAGUGCUAAUACCCUUUGACAGUGAUACUGGAGAGCUUUAUGCAAAGAAACUUGCUAAUUUUGUUGAAAAGCGUCUGAAAAACGAAAGGGCUGCUUCUGUAAGUUUCACCAAUUUAAAAAAUUUGAGUUCAAAGAUAGAAUUAGAUGUGUGACAAAAUCUUCUAUACAGUUCUUCUGAAUUUUAAGUUCAGAAAUUUUCUUUGCCCUGUCGUACAGUGUUGAUUGGAUAGUCUGUCUGUUGUUAUAUUAAAAAAAUAAAAAAAUAAAAAAAAAAAAUCUAAUGAAGUAUUCGCUGAGAAAACAUCUUAACCUCAUAGGUGGCCUUAUUCGAUUUGGCUAGCUGGAAAUCACAAAUUUAUGGUUAACUUGUUAAUAGUCUCUUAGAUCUGAUCCAUUUGUUGCUAAAAUAGUGCAUUUUUAUGUAUUUUUGGCUUAGAUAUAGAUCAUGUCAAUUUCUUUAUCUGUAAUGUUGGCACUGAUGAUGUUUGAAAAUGUAGAGUUCUCUCUUUUAAAGGCUUCAAGGAUAGAGGGUGUGGGCAAGAUUAAAGGUUUUUUUUUUGAUAGGUGGGUCAAGAUUAUAAAUUAGGGGCCGUAUUUCAGUUUCCCUAAUAUUAACCUUAUCUGUUCUGCAAGAUUUUUUCUUUCUUGAAAUAAGCCAAUCGUUUAUUCUGCUUGAAUUCAUGUCUGGGUGGAUAUAAGGUCAUGUCACCAGUCACCACCGUAUCAUGGUUUAUGAGAUUAUAUGCCUAUUGCUUCACCUCUAGAAGGCAAGGUGUUAAUUAGCAUCAAUAUCACUGCUGAAAAUAUAGAAUGGUUCUAAAUUAAUUCUUCUUUAAUAAAUAUUGCUGGUCAUUGUACGCUAGUCUUUAAUUCAAACAUCCAUUUGAUGAAUAAAAAAUUUGUCUCAAUGUGUUCUCUGAUAUUGAAUUGUAGCAUUUUUUUUCUGUAAAAAAUUAUAAUUCCUUGAACAUCCACUGGAGCUAACAUCGCAUAAAAUUACCAGAUUAAGUUCAUUGUUUUUGACAUCAUGUUUCUCCUAUGGCUUAGAUAUGGACCAGCACGUUGCAGAGAUCAAUUAUAACUGCUAGCCCAAUAGUUGGAUUCCCGAAGGUAGGUUGUGUUAACUGCUAUACGUGAUUAAAACAUAAAUUACAGUAUUCAGUAGUGAUGCUCCCACCAUUGUUUUAGUUGACUACUGAAUCUAUUUGUAAUUCCAUCUUCACUUGUAGAUACAAUGGCGUGCACUGGAUGAGAUUAAUGCUGGUGCAUGUGAUGGGAUGAAUUAUGAAGAAAUAAAGAGAAAUAUGCCCGAGGAAUAUCAGUAUGCUUCAGUUCUUUGAACUUUAUUUUAUCCUUUUAGUAUAUUUGUGCAUAGAUGAAGCAUAGUAUUAUCUGACUUGAAAGUGCGAUAUUCGUGAUGGAUGUUUGACCCAUUGAUUAUUUUGAUCACUGUUUCAUUGUCAAUCAAAUAAGACCUACAUCUUCU